ACGAGUGGCGGACGGGUGGAGUAAUGUCUGGGAAACUGCCUGAUGGAGGGGGGAGUAACUACUGGAAACGGUAGCUAAUACCGCAUAACGUCGCAAGACCAAAGAGGGGGACCUUCGGGCCUCUUGCCAUCGGAUGUGCCCAGAUGGGAUUAACUAGUAGGUGGGGUAACGGGCUCACCUAGGCGACGAUCCCUAGCUGGUCUGAGAGGAUGACCAGCCACACUGGAACUGAGACACGGUCCAGACUCCUACGGGAGGCAGCAUG
rnacentral:rRNA from 1 species